AGCCCCUAGCGCAGACGGCGGAGAGCAGAGAGGGAGCGCGCCUUGGCUCGCUGGCCUUGGCGGCGGCUCCUCAGGAGAGCUGGGGCGCCCACGAGAGGAUCCCUCACCCGGGUCUCUCCUCAGGGAUGACAUCAUCCGUCCACCUCCUUGUCUUCAAGGACCACCUCCUCUCCAUGCUGAGCUGCUGCCAAGGGGCCUGCUGCCCAUCUACACCUCACGAGGGCACUAGGAGCACGGUUUCCUGGAUCCCACCAACAUACAAAGCAGCCACUCACUGACCCCCAGGACCAGGAUGGCAAAGGAUGAAGAGGACCGGAACUGACCAGCCAGCUGUCCCUCUUACCUAAAGACUUAAACCAAUGCCCUAGUGAGGGGGCAUUGGGCAUUAAGCCCUGACCUUUGCUAUGCUCAUACUUUGACUCUAUGAGUACUUUCCUAUAAGUCUUUGCUUGUGUUCACCUGCUAGCAAACUGGAGUGUUUCCCUCCCCAAGGGGGUGUCAGUCUUUGUCGACUGACUCUGUCAUCACCCUUAUGAUGUCCUGAAUGGAAGGAUCCCUUUGGGAAAUUCUCAGGAGGGGGACCUGGGCCAAGGGCUUGGCCAGCAUCCUGCUGGCAACUCCAAGGCCCUGGGUGGGCUUCUGGAAUGAGCAUGCUACUGAAUCACCAAAGGCACGCCCGACCUCUCUGAAGAUCUUCCUAUCCUUUUCUGGGGGAAUGGGGUCGAUGAGAGCAACCUCCUAGGGUUGUUGUGAGAAUUAAAUGAGAUAAAAGAGGCCUCAGGCAGGAUCUGGCAUAGAGGAGGUGAUCAGCAAAUGUUUGUUGAAAAGGUUUGACAGGUCAGUCCCUUCCCACCCCUCUUGCUUGUCUUACUUGUCUUAUUUAUUCUCCAACAGCACUCCAGGCAGCCCUUGUCCACGGGCUCUCCUUGCAUCAGCCAAGCUUCUUGAAAGGCCUGUCUACACUUGCUGUCUUCCUUCCUCACCUCCAAUUUCCUCUUCAACCCACUGCUUCCUGACUCGCUCUACUCCGUGGAAGCACGCUCACAAAGGGCUAAUCUCGGGCCUUGUCGAAGGAAGAGGCUGCAGACGUUAAUGAGGUUAGCUGCUGGAUUCCAGUAUUCGUCGCAUAAGGAUCCUUCUUUGUCUGCGAAGGAAAAACACACUGAUUAUCAUAAUGAGGCACGUGGGCCGUGGCCCGGCUGGGUCGGCUGAAGAACUGCGGAUGGAAGCUGCGGAAGAGGCCCUGAUGGGGCCCACCAUCCCGGACCCAAGUCUUCUUCCUGGCGGGCCUCUCGUCUCCUUCCUGGUUUGGGCGGAAGCCAUCACCUGGAUGCCUACGUGGGAAGGGACCUCGAAUGUGGGACCCCAGCCCCUCUCCAGCUCGAAAUCCCUCCACAGCCACGGGGACACCCUGCACCUAUUCCCACGGGACAGGCUGGACCCAGAGACUCUGGACCCGGGGCCUCCCCUUGAGUAGAGACCCGCCCUCUGACUGAUGGACGCCGCUGACCUGGGGUCAGACCCGUGGGCUGGACCCCUGCCCACCCCGCAGGAACCCUGAGGCCUAGGGGAGCUGUUGAGCCUUCAGUGUCUGCAUGUGGGAAGUGGGCUCCUUCACCUACCUCACAGGGCUGUUGUGAGGGGCGCUGUGAUGCGGUUCCAAAGCACAGGGCUUGGCGCACCCCACUGUGCUCUCAAUAAAUGUGUUUCCUGUCUUAACAA
rnacentral:lncRNA from 1 species